AGUUUCUGGCUGCGGCUGCACACCACCUGAAGGCUCAGCUGGGCCGGAUGUCCAAAAUGGCCGAGUCGCACAGUGAGCAGUGGAUUCUGACUGUCACCUGGAGCCUCAGUGGGGGCUCUUCACUGGAGCACUCACAUAUGGCAUCUCCACAUGGCUUGGGAUUCUCACAGCCUGACAGCUAAAUUCCAGGAGGGAACAUUAUCAAGAGAUCCAGGCAUCUUACAAGCCCAGCCUCAGAAGUCCUAGAAUGUUACUUCCAUCACAAUCCAUUGGUUAAGCAAGUCACUAAGCAGAACCUGAGAAACACGCUCAUCAAGUCCAGGAAAUAAAUAGAGAUACAAUGAUUUUGAUCUGCAGAAGUCUCAAGAGAAUAAACAGAAAAAUUCCUAAAAUUAGGCCCUGGAAAUGGGGGAUCUCCUGCCUUGACAGCUCAUCAGUACGUGUGAAAAGCCAACAAGAGUGGAUAUGAUAGGAACUGCAAUCACACAGCACUUUGGAGAAUGUGAAGAUUGGUGCUCACAGCAGAAGUUAACACACUGAUGCUGUGAUCACUGUUCAGUAGGUGGAAUGGUCCUUAGUGAUCCUUGAAGAGUAGCUGCAACUGGAAGACACAGAAUGGAGAGGGUGGAUCAUGCAAAUGAAAAGAUGGGCUCCAACAUUCAGCGGAAGGAAUUUAUGGUUGGUUCCCCCGUUUUUUUGUUGGCGGUGGUGGUUUAUUUUCAUUCCCCAUGCCCGGUCCUUCUGAUGGCACUCACUGAUUUGGCUCUAGGGCACAAGUCUAUGUUGCAUGCAGUCCUGGUGUAACAAUCAAUUGAGGCAUUUCCUGGGCGAGGAGCUGGGACACGGGCCAAGCCAAUCAGACUCUGGUUCCCCCAGGACGCUGAGUCAUAGUGGAGCCAUGCCAAGACGGAAACAGCUGACCUGCUGUGCUGCUGCCAUGGCUCCCUGAGGAGUGUCCCUCAGUUCCUAAGAGGGGACUGUCUGCACGCUGGCUCUUAUGGGUUGAUUUUGCACUUUUUCUUUGAUUCUGAGAGCUACCCACAUCCUCUCCAAUUCUUGCUCCAGUCAACCAGACACAGUUUCUAUUGCUUGCGGUGGAAGACAUGCCCAUGCAGAAGGCGUCAAGGCUCUUGGGAAGAUGGGGAGUGGCAUGUGUUCUCAUGGUGUUCACAGCUGCACAUGGGAAACACCUCAUUGCCUUCGCACAACAAACCCAAGAGGGAGGGGGUUCCUUCCCCAAUUCUGCAAAUGGAAAAACUGAGGCUCAGAGGGGAAAUUGAUCUCUCAGUGUCACAGCCAAUGAAUGACAGAGGGAAAGUUGUGGUCCAGGGCUGAGUCCGGGUUCCACAGUGUGUAGAUGAAUUUCUUCAACCCCUUCAUCAUGUGACAAGAGCCACAAGGUCUCCAGGCCUCCUGGACAUGACAGGUGUUUGCUCACAAACUGAAACUUUCUCUGCUGGGUCACACCCUCCUCGCCCAUCCCUACUCUUGGUGCAGGGCAUGAGCUGGACCCUGGAAGACCAAUGGGUAUUCAACUUUCAGAAAGCCUUGGCGAGGUCUAGUGAUGAAAUAAUUUUGUCAUUUGGAAUGCUGACAAAAAAAAUUUGAAUUUUUCGGCCAUAGUUUCAUUUCCAUAAAUCACUUCAUUCUUAUCCUAAUCCUUCCCCAACUGUUUGUCAAAAUUCCCAUCAAAUAUUUUUCCACUUGGAAGACUGAUUUUUAACACUCAUACCCCACCCCCACCAGGCCACGGUGUGGACAUUUUUCAUUCCUAAAGUCAGGAGGCCAGAGACAUUUCCAAGAGAGAUCAAAGCACUUGCUGGCCACGUUGGAAAAUGAGAAGGGAGGAUAAGGGUGUGAAGGGGCAUCCUGCCUCCAGGAGGGACCCCCUCCAAGUGAGUUAAGAGAUGUGGGCCAGGAGGGCUGAGCAGUAGCAUCCACUGGGAAGCCCUGGGCUCCAGGCCCAGCCCUGUAGCUGCCUCACUGGACAAGCCCUUCCAGCUGGCCUCGGAGGACAUGGACCAUCUUCCCGGGUUUGGCUGUGUAUCCCAGUAGCACCAUGGAGUAGCCAGGGCCCUUGGCCAGGCCACUAAACUACACCGUACCCCCCUUGUCAUCUGUUGCAUGCAGGCAUCAGAAUUUACCUUUAAAGAAGUGUUUCUCAAACUUGAGUCACUUAGUUUUCAUGGCAUAUUUAUACAAUAUAUGUGCGAUUAUUAAAAGUUUCCUUUAAAUC
ensembl:lncRNA ALDH1L1-AS2 ALDH1L1 antisense RNA 2